rnacentral:lncRNA from 1 species
UCAUUUCUAAUUCUCUGAAAACUCUUUGUAAUGAACUUGGCACCUAUGAGUUGAUUUCCAUCAGAAUAGUCUCUCUCAUAUAUAGACUUAUUCUCUGGAGUUGACAUCCUAGCUUUCAUCUUGAAUAAAGAUUGAGUUAGUCUGCUACUUAUUAUUAUUUGUUGAAGAGUGUAUCAGUAAGUUCCUUGGCGACUGGAAUCCUUGCUCAUGUAAAUGAUAUAAGAUGAUUAUGUCACAACGAUCCUCUUCGCUCUUUGCGACUUCUCAGUAAAUUAGGGAUUUCCCUACNAUUAGGGGGUUUUCGAUUUUAAUUUUCUCAAUCCGUCAGUCGCCGCCCACCUCCCAUGCGGACUACAAAGGUGCGAUUAAUAGGUACCACCGAUCAUUAUAGAGUUCUGAACUCUUUCAUAAAUUGUCUGAAUUGCAGCUAGCCAUAGGUGUUUUCCUUAUAUUAUCAGUUUCAGUGUGUUAAUAUAAUAAUUGUAUGUCGCAAGCAGUCUUUAGGACAAACAAUCAUUCGUUAUUUUUUAUUAAGUUUUUGUGUAUAGUCUGAAACACACAAAGAUAAUGUGGAACAGCGAUAAGUCAUUUAUAUUUUCAUAAUUUUUUUUGUUUCAAGGAUUUGGAUCAUUUGGAUUUUGUUCGUAAAAUGUGGGGUUGCCUAGUAUUUGAUUUAACUACUCUGCAUUAGCUUCCAAAUGUGGUUUAUGCGCUGUUAAUAUAAAGUAUAUGGUCAAAAAGUUGGCUUUUUCCAAGUAUGCAUCUAACUAAAUGAUAUACAUAAAUUCUAUUUACAAUUUGUUCAUCUUUUUAUAUUGUGUAUAUGGAACACGGGCACAGAUUGGUAUUUGGUUGAUUAUGUAAAAAGCAACAGCCAACAAAUUUAUUUCCCAUGAUCCGGUAGAGGAAGGAUUGCAUGUAUUGUUAUAUAUUUGAGCAUUUUCCCAUUAUCUGGCAUAUUAAUUGAGCAUGGUUCUAAUAAUAUAAUCUAUUAACUUUUCCAUUGAUUUCUUUGAGUGUAUUAUUUAUGUGUAAUGUUCAAUGUAAUUAUAGAAUUUUAUAAAGAAAUUCAUUGUUCACUUCUAUGCAAUGCUCUUAUUCUGAGGCUUUUGCACUUAGGUAUGUUUUGGAUCCUCACAACCGUGGUGUGAAAUUUUUAUGAUAGGCAGUUAGUUCAUUUUUCUACUUGUUUGUUGACAGAGUUAAAAUAAUUGACUAGGGAUCUGUAAAGAAGGUGAAAUGGCCAAUCAAGUUGGGUGGGGGAUAAUGACCACCAAUCGAGAUUCUUGUGGGUCCAGUUUUCCGCAUUAUAUAGUUUGUUUUCAUCUACAUUCUGUAAUCCUAAGCUUCAUUAUUAAUUAAAUUUUUUAACUUUGUUCAGGAUAGUAGCAUUGUGUCAGAAAGAGAAGGACAAAAAAAUUGACAUGAGGACAUAAUAAAGAAGACUAG